UGAGGAAUAUUGGUCAAUGGGCGCGAGCCUGAACCAGCCAAGUAGCGUGGAGGACGACGGCCCUACGGGUUGUAAACUCCUUUUAUAAGGGGAUAAAGUUGGCCAUGGAUGGCCAUUUGCAGGUACCUUAUGAAUAAGCAUCGGCUAAUUCCGUGCCAGCAGCCGCGGUAAUACGGAAGAUGCGAGCGUUAUCCGGAUUUAUUGGGUUUAAAGGGAGCGUAGGCGGGCAGUCAAGUCAGCGGUCAAAUGGCGCGGCUCAACCGCGUUCCGCCGUUGAAACUGGCAGCCUUGAGUAUGCACAGGGUACAUGGAAUUCGUGGUGUAGCGGUGAAAUGCUUAGAUAUCACGAGGAACUCCGAUCGCGCAGGCAUUGUACCGGGGCAUUACUGACGCUGAGGCU
rnacentral:rRNA from 1 species